CGCGCUAUCGAGCACUUGUGCUGCCUCGCCCUUUCCUACCUGGGGGAGCGAGAAGGUCGGUGCACUUGGACACACACACACACACACACACACACACACACACAGGCAGACGUGUAGGACGCAUCACGGCGGCCACUUUCCGUCGCCCCACCUCUCCGUUGCAGUGUCCGCAGCCUCACGGCACCAACUCCGCUUUUUGGCUGCUUUUAAAACGCUCGUUUUUUUUUUUUGCCGUCGCUUCUGUGAAGCGCUCUCGGGUCCAUUCGCCUCCCUGGCUGGAGCGCGUGCUUCUCUUCGUUACCUUCUCGAACGCCUACACGGCUCCGACACAUCUGCUGGCUUGCGCUCAUCUUGCGACGGCCCUUCCUCUUACCGGCGUGUGCUUGUGCCUGCAUCAUUGAUAGGACAUCGUUGUGCCCCAACACGCUGCCCGUUGUCGUUUUGUCUUGUUGUUGCGUGCGUGCGUGCGGCUGUGCCUCCCCUCCUUUCUUGCCAUUUCAAGCUCAUCGAACUUUCCUUGUUUGUGCGCACACUCGAGGGCGCCGCUGCUUUGUUGAAAGGCAUCGCGCAGACGAGUUCUGUGAGGCAAGGAACUGCUAGCAGACGUCCAGGGAGACCCUCACGCACACGCACGCGAAAAGAAACGGUCGUACGAGACUAGGAGUGGUGCAGAAUGAACUACCUGCGCACCGUAGUAGCCGAUGUGAAGCUAAAGUACCGGGCUAGUCGCGUUGUGGCCGAAUGCGUGCUCAGGAGAGAGCAGCCGGAGUUUCCGCAGUUUCUGACCGAGUGCGUGACUAUCGCGGACGGGCACCCAGAACUGAUCCUGUCAACCAUUCGACUCUAUCUCGAAUACAAUCAGCCAGAGAGGGCCCACGGAGGCCUGCUGCUGCUGGAGCAGCUGGUGUCGCUAUGCAACUACGCCUUCCACUUAGCCCUGGCGAGGGACUACGACAUACAAGACCGCAUUAUUCACUUAGCCAUGAAGCGCGGCGAAGGUGAGGCGCACCAAAAAACUCAGCGACUCGCCCGCCUGACGCUGCUCGAGUACUCACGCCUCUUCGUGGAUGAUCGCGAUUUGCUUCGGCUGUCGGCACUGGUCUCCUCCUUCGAGCAUCGGACACACAAGAGUUUGAUGCGUUGCCUCAACGUGCAGAAUCGACGUGUGCGCUUCCGCGACGUGGAGAAGAGCGACAUAAUUCCCAUCAGCCCCAAGGAGUGCGUAGGCUUCACAAGCUCCUCUGCUGGCCGGCCUGUGAAGCCACUGCAGCUGAGCUCGGCUCCCGAGGUGUGGCCAUGCCGCGUUUGCGCCUACCUCAACGCCCCGUCCGCCAUGCGCUGCGCCGCCUGCGAGACGCUGCGCACCACAGACAUGGCGACUCACCGCUCCUCGCCGCACACGACUCCGAAGAUGUCACCUGCCUCCUCCACAUCAGUCGCAACGGCGAAUGGCACCAACGUAGGAAGGCGCUCGCCCAUUGUGCCGCCGCUGCCGAUGGCGGUGGAGGGCGAGAUGGAGACCGGCGACUCCCAGGCGUCGAGCGGUGCCAACAUGGAGGACAUGGACGCGACGUUUCCCAUCAGCGACUGGGACAAUACGUCCGGGGGGCACCUCCACCCAUGCCAUGUCCCGCCGACAGCCGUGUACGCAGACCCGGCGCACCUGCCUCACAUCGCCACCAGCACCGCGGUGUCGACGUCCACGUCAGACAUAUCAGCACACAUAUCACCAUCGACGGCUAGUGAGCCCGGCGAUGUGGCUAGCGAGGCGUACUAUGACCGCAUCGAAGGCUCCAUAGCAAACGGCGUAGCACCGCACGAGCUGGAAAAGUAGGGACAGCGAGGCGCAUCCGAGCAUGACCUCAACGAGGAGCCUGACCCAGCGCGGCGCGACAUGCAGUUUGCACCACGGAGGCAAUACAGUUCAUCAUGGCCACGGUGCUGCUGCUGAUUACGCAACCAAACUCUUCCUGGGCGGACUGCUGGUCUACGCACGGCUGCGUUACUGCUUCUCUCUGCGUGGCGCUGUGCGUGCGUGGCGUAGCUGCACCUGAGAUGGGACAGGCGAACGGGGUGGCAGUGACGGUCUCCACUCGCGAUGGCGGUGGUAGCGCGACCCCGUCAUCGCCACUCCUCGCCAUUCACCUUUUGGCUCCUACAUCGAAUGCACACGGAGGAGGUGGAGGGAGGCAGGCAGACAGACAGAGGGGUGGCUAACGGGUGAUGCGGAUGGAGCUGGUAAUAGUGAGGGCCGGUGACUGCUUCAGCCCACUGGUGCUUGCCCUGUGCGGACUUCUACCGCUCUCGCUGCGCAUGUGCUUGUUUGUGGGGGCACCACGUGCGCCACCGUCCCUUCCUCACCGCGCCUACCAAGGGACAGGGCAACGAGAGUGUGCACGUGGGCGCCUCUCCUCAUCACAGCGCCGCCUCGUGCUCUCUCUCACUCACUUUGAGCUCGCUCUGUGUGUGCCCAGCAUGACCCGCGAAAGGCACGUAAUGCAUACAUGAAAUGCGGACGACAGAGGGGGGAAAGGGGGGGGGGCGUGUGUGUGCGCGACACGUGAGUACCCGUGCACACACGUAGUGCAGAGCAUGGCGCGGCUCGUGCCGGUGUAAUAAUACUCGUGAUGGUGAUUCUACACGUGGGAGUACGGACACCGGGUCUACUGGCUUGAUGUGAAGUGUUCCCAUGAGGAUGUACCGCUAAGUGGGCCACCACUGCUGCCGCUCCUGUCUCUUAUACGGAGGGCGGGGUGAGAACCUCAUGGGUGCACCGCCGCGUCCCUGCGCUGAAGCUCGCCGGUGCGCGCGAUGGCGUGCAACUCUCUGCAUCAUGAUGUCAACGCGUCUUGUUGCCGUCUUUCCUUUUCUUUUGGCGCGCGUGCUUGCUUGUUUGCAG
rnacentral:misc_RNA from 1 species